ACAAUCAAAGAUUUCUGCUUUCCUGUCCCAAACACAUCUUGAGUAAGAAAAGGGCCAUGUGGCAUUCCUGAAGGCACAGAAGUGCUGAUAUCAAUCAAGACCUGGGCCAGCAUGUGUCUACAUCGGGGGUCUGCUAAUUGCUCUGAAUCAUGUUAAACGUCAUCAAUGUGUUGUGUUCAGAGAUUGAGAGCACAGGGGGUUUUCUGUAUGAGAUUCAGUCUGUUACACUGAACCAAACCCUCAGUGCUGACUGUGAGCAGAGCUGGUAUUCACAGGACAGGCAUCUGAUCGCAGAUCCAUUAAAACCUCACGAACUGAUUGAUCCUGUGACGUCUGUCUCUCCUGAUCGUCUCGUCACGUCUCAGUGUGUGAAUCUGUAUCAUGAGAUCAUCUGUGAUUCUGCU